rnacentral:lncRNA from 1 species
AGCGCAUGAGUUCAUCCUCCGAUGUCUUCCCCUUAUGUGUUGCACUGCUGCCUUGCCCUGCGGCCACAGAAGAGUCAGAACCAAGCUCCGAUGGUGACGCCCAUCAAGAGGAGUGGACGCCGAAGCAACGACGCACAGGGAGGAUGAGGGGAAUAGGUAACAGACCUAUCGAGCCAGCACCACGAGGCUAUAGGAAAGUGAGGAAGGGGAUGAACCUCCCCAGGGGUGGAGAGGGAGGGAAGGGGGAUGAAUCUCCAAGCGCUGGCUAUGGAUGAUGCCUCCGACAUGGGGGCUCUUGGUCAGGGAUGGCACCCCAGCGGAGGGAGGGAAUCCUGGUGGCAGAGGGAGGGAAUC